AUUGAACGCUGGCGGCAUGCCUUACACAUGCAAGUCGAACGGCAACACGGGUGCUUGCACCUGGUGGCGAGUGGCGAACGGGUGAGUAAUACAUCGGAACAUGUCCUGUAGAGGGGGAUAGCGCGGCGAAAGCCGGAUAAAUACCGCAUACGAUCUACGGGUGAAAGCGGAGGCCCUUCGGGACUCGCGCGACAGGGUUGGCCGAUGGCUGAUUAGCUAGUUGGUGGGGUAAAGGCCUACCAAGGCGACGAUCAGUAGCUGGUCUGAGAGGACGACCAGCCACACUGGGACUGAGACACGGCCCAGACUCCUACGGGAGGCAGCAGUGGGGAAUUUUGGACAAUGGGCGAAAGCCUGAUCCAGCAAUGCCGCGUGUGUGAAGAAGGCCUUCGGGUUGUAAAGCACUUUUGUCCGGAAAGAAAUCCUUGGCCCUAAUACGGUCGGGGGAUGACGGUACCGGAAGAAUAAGCACCGGCUAACUACGUG
rnacentral:rRNA from 1 species